CUUAUGAAGUUAGCGGCGGACGGGUGAGUAACACGUGGGUAACCUGCCCAUAAGACUGGGAUAACUCCGGGAAACCGGGGCUAAUACCGGAUAACAUUUUGAACCGCAUGGUUCGAAAUUGAAAGGCGGCUUCGGCUGUCACUUAUGGAUGGACCCGCGUCGCAUUAGCUAGUUGGUGAGGUAACGGCUCACCAAGGCAACGAUGCGUAGCCGACCUGAGAGGGUGAUCGGCCACACUGGGACUGAGACACGGCCCAGACUCCUACGGGAGGCAGCAGUAGGGAAUCUUCCGCAAUGGACGAAAGUCUGACGGAGCAACGCCGCGUGAGUGAUGAAGGCUUUCGGGUCGUAAAACUCUGUUGUUAGGGAAGAACAAGUGCUAGUUGAAUAAGCUGGCACCUUGACGGUACCUAACCAGAAAGCCACGGCUAACUACGUGCCAGCAGCCGCGGUAAUACGUAGGUGGCAAGCGUUAUCCGGAAUUAUUGGGCGUAAAGCGCGCGCAGGUGGUUUCUUAAGUCUGAUGUGAAAGCCCACGGCUCAACCGUGGAGGGUCAUUGGAAACUGGGAGACUUGAGUGCAGAAGAGGAAAGUGGAAUUCCAUGUGUAGCGGUGAAAUGCGUAGAGAUAUGGAGGAACACCAGUGGCGA
rnacentral:rRNA from 1 species